rnacentral:misc_RNA from 1 species
CUCACUAAUCAUGCAUUAUUAUUACUGACUAAUAUCCACUACAAUAACUAUCACAUAAAGGAGGAUAAGGAAACAAGAAAAUUAUACUAUGCGUGCAAUGAACAAUGAAUAAAAGAAAUCAACGAUGCUCUCAACUCAAUUGUAUACCAUAUAAUAAAAUCUAGUAGCGAUAAUAGUAAUAACUACCUUUUAAUCUUCUUCUUAACCUCUAUCAUUCUCUUCACAGAAGCUCUCCCCUGGCCGCGUAACCAUAUCGGGACCUUCUGAUAUUGUCCUGCCUCUUCUUAUAAAGCAAACCAACCAUUACAACCACGCCCGCCACCAAAACCACUCCAAUAGCAAUCCCAGCCUUCUUUCCUCCGCUCAUUCCAGAAGAUCCCUUCGACUGGUCGCCAUUUGCUUCUACAUUGUUGCUGUGAUUGAUAUCACUCGGCUCCACCGGAGCCGGCGCAGGAACACCAGAGUUCUCAGGCGAGUGAGUCGGAGUGGGAGAAGCACCAGGACCAAGCAGAUCUGACGGCGGCGGCGCUGGAGGCGAAACUAUUGGUGAAUAUGUAGGCGAAGGAGGGAGAUCCAUCGCCGGUGAAGGAGAAGGAGGGGAAAGCAGCGGUGAACGGGCAGGUAGUUGAGGAGACGGACUAGGGGACGAGUCUGAUUCCGGUGGUGGAGUUGCAGAGAGAGUAACUUGUAUAGCAAAGAAGGCUAAAAGAGCGUAGAUGAAGAAUUUGGUAGCCAUAGAAGAGAAUGCAGUUGAAAAGAGAGCGUGUUUGGAUGGUUAGAGAUCUGAGAGGAAGUGAAACCGAAGAGACGGUUGUUGAAAAAGAGUAAGAAACGGGAGAGCGGAAAUCGGGUAGGCUUUUAAGCUUUGAGUAACGCAAUGGAUAUAUUUUAACAAUUAAUACACAUAAUUUAUGCAAUUAAUUAACGAAUUACACGUAUUAUAACUUGUUUGGAUAGUUUUUUUUAUGAAGGAAAGAAAAUAAAGAGUGGAAAAUGAGAAGUG